GUCUGUUGAAAAAGGCGGGGAUGACCUGUGGAUAGCGGAGAAAUUCCAAUCGAACUUGGAGAUAGCUGGUUCUCCUCGAAAUAGCUUUAGGGCUAGCCUCAAUUUAGUUUACAGGGGGUAGAGCACUGAAUACCGUAGGGGUGUUAGACAUUACCGAAAGUUAUCAAACUCCGAAUACCUGAUAAAUGAUGAUUGGGAGUCAGACUAUGUGGGAUAAGCUUCAUAGUCAAAAGGGAAAGAGCCCAGACCACCAGCUAAGGUCCCUAAAUAUAGAUUAAGUGGUAAAGGAUGUUUUACUACUUAGACAACCAGGAUGUUGGCUUAGAAGCAGCCAUACAUUUAAAGAGUGCGUAAUAGCUCACUGGUCAAGUGGUAGAGCGCCGAAAAUGAACGGGGCUAAAAUCUAAUACCGAAGCUGUGGACUAAUGUAAAUUAGUGGUAGAGGAGCAUUGUGUAAGGGGUGAAGCUAAGUUGUAAGACGAAGUGGACUUUACAGAAGAGAGAAUGCUGGCAUGAGUAGCGAAAAGGCAGGUGAGAAUCCUGCCCGUCGAAAGCCUAAGGAUUCCUGAGGAAGGCUCGUCCUCUCAGGGUAAGUCGGGACCUAAGCCCAGGCUGAAAAGCGUAAGCGAUGGACAACAGGUUGAGAUUCCUGUACUAUCUUUGAAUGUUUGAGAGAUGUACUGACGCAGGAGGAUAUGUUGAGCGUGUGAAUGGUAGAGCACGUCUAAGCAAGUAGAUAGAGAUUAGAGGCAAAUCCCUAAUCUUAAUAUCGAGAUGUGAUGGGGAGCGAAAAAUGAGUAGUGAAGCAACAGAUUCCAAACUGCCAAGAAAAGGUACUAUUGAGUGAGAAGAUACCCGUACCAAAACCGACACAGGUAGGCAAGGAGAGAAUCCUAAGACGCGCGGAAGAACCUUUGUUAAGGAACUCGGCAAAAUGACCCCGUAACUUCGGGAGAAGGGGUACCAUUAGAUGUGAAAUCUAUACAGAUAGAGCAUAGAGUGGUCGCAGAGAAUAGGCCCAAGCAACUGUUUACCAAAAACACAAGUUUCUGCUAAAUCGAAAGAUGAAGUAUAGGAGCUGACACCUGCCCGGUGCUGGAAGGUUAAGGGGAAAUGUUAGAGCAAUCGAAGCAUAGAACUUAAGCCCCAGUAAACGGCGGCCGUAACUAUAACGGUCCUAAGGUAGCGAAAUUCCUUGUCGGGUAAGUUCCGACCCGCACGAAAGGUGUAACGAUUUGGGCACUGUCUCAACAAAGGAUCCGGUGAAAUUGUAGUAGUCGUGAAGAUGCGACUUACCCACGAUAGGACGGAAAGACCCCGUGGAGCUUUACUGUAGGCUGGCAUUGGAAUUUGGUAUUAAAUGUACAGGAUAGGUGGGAGACAAAGAAGCGAGAGCGUCAGUUUUCGUGGAGUCGUUGUUGGGAUACCACCCUUUUGAUACUAAAUUUCUAACCUGGUACUCUGAAUCGAGUACAGGGACACUGUCAGUUGGGCAGUUUGACUGGGGCGGUCGCCUCCUAAAGAGUAACGGAGGCGUUCAAAGGUUCCCUCAGAAUGGAUGGAAAUCAUUCUAAGAGUGCAAAGGCAAAAGGGAGCUUAACUGCGACACCAACAAGUGGAGCAGAUAGGAAACUAGGACUUAGUGAUCCGGUGGUACCGAGUGGAAGGGCCAUCGCUCAACGGAUAAAAGCUA
rnacentral:rRNA from 1 species